rnacentral:misc_RNA from 1 species
AAAAUGUUUCAAAGUUUUGUAUUUGUGGAGGAAUCUUCAAUUAUCACAGCAAUAACUGUGAUAACUUUUUUGUUUUUAGCUUAUUUGGGUGUUUCUGAAAUUGCUGGAAAACAUCUUCAAUACUCCAAAUUUUGGAAUGUUAAUGCAAAUUCUGGUUCAUCUAGUAGUAAUUUUCUGCAGGGGAAAAUGUCUAGUAAAUUAGGGAUGUUUAUAUUGUAUGCACCAGCUUGUUUUAUGGGUUUUGCUUCAUUUUUUAUGUACCCAGAUGGUGGAACUAGGUUUAUGUUGCUUCAAUCUGCUGUUACUAUACAUUUCUUCAAAAGGGUUCUUGAGGUUCUGUUUGUUCACAACUACAGUGGUGGGAUGAUUCUUGGAUCAGUACUCCUUAUUUCAUCCUCCUAUUUUAUGGUUGCUGCAGCCAUGAUCUGCAUCCAACACUUAUCUCUACAAUAUACGGAGCCUGAAAUCGAUCUGAAGUCUAUCGGUGUACUGAUAUUCUUAGUUGGAAUCAUUGGCAACUUUUAUCAUCAUUACCUCCUUUCCAAGCUCAGAGGCAGUAAAGAGAAAGGCUAUAAAAUUCCGCAAGGCGGUCUUUUCAGUAUGGUGAUAUGCCCUCAUUAUCUUUUCGAGAUUCUUGGCUUCGUAGGGAUCUCGUUCAUCUCCCAGACAUCGUUUUCGUUUGGCUGUGCUGUGGGUGUAGCUUUAUAUCUAUCAGCAAGGAGUAAUGUUACUAGGAAAUGGUACCUUUCUAAAUUUGAAAAUUUUCCUAAGAAUGUUAAAGCUUUGGUUCCUUUUGUUUUCUAAAGAAAGUGAUAUUACUUUGUAUCAAAGUCCCAUUCUAUAAUGACACUUUUAUCAUGUAUGAAGU